CCCGCUCACAAGGUCGACGACGACGAAUCUAAGGACGCCAACGCCACCCCUCUCUGAGCUCCCUAUGGCCACUGCGGGUGAGUGCCUCUGGGUAGCCGGUCACCCCUCUCUUGCAGCCUCCGAGCUUCGGCGAACGCAGAACUGGCAGGGCGCGACGGCCGACGCAAUGUACGUGGGUAGCCGGCGUCCAAUGUCGGCCGCCGCUGGCGAGCGCCCCCGGCGCGGCUGCCCAACCAAGCUCUGUCCAGAUCUGACCGUCUAGGGCGAGGUGACCCCCUCCUGGCGGCGAGCGAGACAGCCCCCACUCCACCCCACCUCGCAACAGCCACCGAUCAGUGGAGCGCACUCAAAACUGUUGGAUUUAUUUUGGAACUUAGGUGAAGGAGGAAUGGGUGGAGGGACGAGCAAGAUGGCAACGUUCUAUUGAAACAAACUGCCUCGAUUAUUAGGCUAUCAUUACUAAACAAACUACCUUUAUCGUCAACCUACUAACUUCCAUAUUCUUCACAUUCAGCUUUGCAAAAUUUACUUGACUGGAUUUUUUAGCUUAACAUAUAACUCAGGGAGACAUGCGAUUUUGGGACGAUCAAACUGUUGUUUUAUUUUUGUUGCAUGUAUAAUCCAAUCGCCGAGAUCGACCUCUACCGUCUCGAGCCAUAGGACCUCCCCUCCCUCUUCAACAUCCGCAGUCACAACGCCAAGGGGUAGUUCUUCGCCCGUGCGGUCGAGGCGGUCCCAGCAACAGGACCAACCACGCACACGCCGAUGGGGUACUGGAGAUCCGGACGGAGUAGCAUUCUUGCUGGCCAACGAUCGAGCUCUUGUAGUCGAUGAUCUUAUUGCCACCCGUGUGCAGCUGUCAAACUUAUCGGAGAUGGACGAUGAAGCGUUGGAUCAAGGAGAUGGAGGUUGGAUCAAGGAGAUGGAGGAGGUGGCCGCCACGGCCACCACUUCCAGGUCGAUUAUGCCCUUUAGGGCCAUCCAGAAGGGCAAGCCGUUGUCGGUGUCCUUGGCAUCGAGAAGAAGUCCACCCCUAAGCUCUAGAACUCCAGGUGCUCGCCGUGGCCACAAGCGUGUAGUCCCCCGACGCAGAGAAGAGGAAGGGCAUGUGGCGUAGUUAGAGGGAUCUGAACCCUAGCGGUCGUCCGCCCGUCCAGAUCUGUGACCCGCCCUUCUCGACGCUUCGGUGACAUGAGUGCCUGGAAAUCUAGGGAGGCGAAAAGGUCAGAGUUCAGUCAUGUCAUGCUUGAUUUGAGUUCUGUGCCAGAUCAAAGCAAGUAGUAGUACGUGAGAAGUUAACCAUGAACAGACACCCUUUUUCUCUUUGUGUAUCACAGAUUUUGAAACUUGCUGAGAGGGAAAAACAAAUUUAUGGGGAAAAAAUGUGACACUGAAAGCCAUUUGCUUCCAGCAGCUUAAGAAUUGUUGCGGUAGAUGCAACUGAAGAGGGUCUUCAAGUAAGUAAAUCAACUACUACAAUGGCUCACUAAAAAUGGUCGACAGGACAGUUUCGGAACCUUAUUGUUGUUCUUCAGAGAGAACAUCGACAAAGGAACUUGAAGCUCCGUAGGCGAAAGGAUCUCUAGAAACGACUAACUAAAUUCUCCUAGGUACUACUCUAGGGAGGAUGCUGAAGAUGCUGUCAAAUACAUUAGUGGAACAAUGCUUGACGAUCGUCCAAUCCGUGUUGAUUUCGAUCGGGGCUUUGAAGAAGGCAGACAGUGGGGCCGUGGACGAAGUGGUGUACAAGCUUUACAAACCAUGAUAUGUCCGUGCGUUGUAGUAGUAAGAAAGAACUAAUGUUCACAGUUAAAAAGUGUGGAAUGAGAACCGACAUUAAAAUAGGAGAAUAUAUAUAAUGUGGGUUUCAUACAUAUGUUCUAUGUUUCACAUCUACCACCGAAGGCCAAGUACAUUUUGAUAUACUAGCCUAAAAUGUUCUGCUGAUCUGAUAUACUAGCCUAAAAUGUUCCGUUGAUCUGAUUUUUUGCUACACCCUGCUGCCCUCUACAUUUGGAUUGUCUGUAUUUUGAUUUUUUAGUUUUAUUUUUGUUGCAUGUAUAAUCCAAUAUGUGAUUGUAUCUUUUGAUUCCUGGAAGGAUAGAGUUUGCACUAGAAGAGGAUGCUCAUGUUGUUGGUGACUGUGUAAAAGUACCUUUCUGUAAUUAUCAUUGUCUAUUGUUUAUAAGGAUUAAUGUUAAAGA